GAUGAACGCUGGCGGCGUGCCUAAUACAUGCAAGUCGAGCGAACGGACGAGAAGCUUGCUUCUCUGAUGUUAGCGGCGGACGGGUGAGUAACACGUGGAUAACCUACCUAUAAGACUGGGAUAACUUCGGGAAACCGGAGCUAAUACCGGAUAAUAUUUUGAACCGCAUGGUUCAAAAGUGAAAGACGGUCUUGCUGUCACUUAUAGAUGGAUCCGCGCUGCAUUAGCUAGUUGGUAAGGUAACGGCUUACCAAGGCAACGAUGCAUAGCCGACCUGAGAGGGUGAUCGGCCACACUGGAACUGAGACACGGUCCAGACUCCUACGGGAGGCAGCAGUAGGGAAUCUUCCGCAAUGGGCGAAAGCCUGACGGAGCAACGCCGCGUGAGUGAUGAAGGUCUUCGGAUCGUAAAACUCUGCUAUUAGGGAAGAACAUAUGUGUAAGUAACUGUGCACAUCUUGACGGUACCUAAUCAGAAAGCCACGGCUAACUACGCG
rnacentral:rRNA from 1 species